rnacentral:rRNA from 1 species
UACGUAGGGACCAAGCGUUGUUCGGAUUUACUGGGCGUAAAGGGCGCGUAGGCGGUGCGGUAAGUCACUUGUGAAAUCUCUGAGCUUAACUCAGAACGGCCAAGUGAUACUGCAGUGCUAGAGUGCGGAAGGGGCAAUCGGAAUUCUUGGUGUAGCGGUGAAAUGCGUAGAUAUCAAGAGGAACACCUGAGGUGAAGACGGGUUGCUGGGCCGACACUGACGCUGGAGCGCGAAAGCUAGGGGAGCGAACGGG